CCGGUCUGAACUCAGAUCAUGUAAUAAUUUUACGUCGAACAGACGGAAAUAAAAUCCUUCUGCGGAUUUUAUUGUAUAAUGAUUCAACAUCGAGGUCACAAUUAAUCACUUAGAUUAGGUCUCUUAACAAUCAUUGUGCUGUUAUCCCUGGAGUAAUUUCUUUUAUUUAAUAAACUUAGUUAUCAAAUUUAUGUAAUUGAAUUUUCCCAAUAAAAUAAUGUAAAUUUCCAGGGUCUUCUCGUUUAUAAGAUUAGUUAGAGUAUUUGCACUCUAAGGUUGAUUUAAAUUUAUUUUAGUUAACAAUUAAUAUUACUUUUUUCCUUUCAUUCCAGUUCAAAUUUAUUAAACAAGUGAUUAUGCUACCUUAGCACAGUCAGGUUACUGCAGCAAUAAAAAAUCAUUGAGC
rnacentral:rRNA from 1 species